UGGGGAAUAUUGGACAAUGGGCGCAAGCCUGAUCCAGCAAUGCCGCGUGGAUGAAGAAGGUUUUCGGAUUGUAAAGUCCCUUCGGCGGGGACGAUGAUGACGGUACCCGCAGAAGAAGCCCCGGCUAACUUCGUGCCAGCAGCCGCGGUAAUACGAAGGGGGCUAGCGUUGCUCGGAAUGACUGGGCGUAAAGGGCGCGUAGGCGGACAGCUUUGUCGGACGUGAAAUUCCAGGGCUUAACCUUGGGGCUGCGUUCGAGACGGGUUGUCUUGAGUAUGGAAGAGGGUCGUGGAAUUCCCAGUGUAGAGGUGAAAUUCGUAGAUAUUGGGAAGAACACCGGUGGCGAAGGCGGCGACCUGGUCCAAGACUGACGCUGAGGCGCGAAAGCGUGGGGAGCAAACA
rnacentral:rRNA from 1 species